rnacentral:rRNA from 1 species
UACGUAGGGGGCGAGCGUUGUCCGGAGUUACUGGGCGUAAAGCGCACGCAGGCGGUCUGUGAAGUUUGGAGUGACAGUUGGUGGCUCAACCACCAAAGUGCUUUGAAAAACUGACAGACUUGAGGGCUUCAGAGGGACACGGAAUUCCGGGUGGAGUGGUGAAAUGCGUAGAGAUCCGGAGGAACACCAAAGGCGAAGGCAGUGUCCUGGGGAGUACCUGACGCUCAGGUGCGAAAGCCAGGGGAGCGAACGGG